GACGAACGCUGGCGGCGUGCUUAACACAUGCAAGUCGAACGGAAAGGCCCCUUUGGGGGUACUCGAGUGGCGAACGGGUGAGUAACACGUGAGUAACCUGCCCUUGACUUCGGGAUAACUUCAGGAAACUGGGGCUAAUACCGGAUAGGAAUCCUUGCUGCAUGGUGGGGGUUGGAAAGCUUCGGCGGUUUUGGAUGGACUCGCGGCUUAUCAGCUUGUUGGUGGGGUAGUGGCUUACCAAGGCUUUGACGGGUAGCCGGCCUGAGAGGGCGACCGGCCACAUUGGGACUGAGAUACGGCACAGACUCCUACGGGGGGCAGCAGUGGGGAAGAUUGAACAAUGGGCGGAAGCCUGAUGCAGCAACGCCGCGGGCGGGAUGACGGCCUUCGGGUUGUAAACCGCUUUCAGCAGGGGCGAAGCUUGUGGUGACGGUACCUGCAGAAGAAGCACCGGCUAACUACGUG
rnacentral:rRNA from 1 species